AUGAGAGAGAAAGAGGGAGCAACAAGCAGUAAAGGGCGUCAGGCUGGGAAUCAAACCCGCACCUGCUGCUGUGAGGACAAAGCUUCUGUACAUGGAACAUCUGCUCCACCAACGGCGCCCCGUCAGCAUCUCUGCACAUCCACGUCCCUCGUCUCAAAGUCUAUGUAGCUUUUGAAUUGUUUUUUUGAGGUGCUGCAGGAGGCCGGACAGAGUUUUUCUCUGUGCUGGAGCUGCUGCUGUUUCCACUCACACACCUGCAGCCAGUUUGGGUUAAUCAGCACUUGUUCGAGUACCCUGAUCACCAGUCUGCUCGCUGCCAGAUCAAUUAACCGCCAGUCGACGUGUUAUGUAGCCGCUCCACUUGCGCAAGUAGUUUCUAGAAGAGUUUUUUUUCUUGUUUCUCGUUUUUGCCUGAGCUCAUGUUUGCUUCUCUGCUUCUCCACCAGUGAGCACCACUCUGACCAGCACUCAGCUCCACCUGCCUCCCAGCUGCAGCACCUCCUCACCGUCCAACUCACCGCUGGACCUCUGCGCCUCGCUUCUCCACCUGCAUUCAACCAGUGUGUCUCCUGCGCCUCACCUGAGACCAGCUCACACUAACUCCUGUCUGCUCUGCCAGGUACAGGACGUCUCCUCCAGGUUGGAGGUUUGGUUACAGACAGUAUUGUCGUGCUGGAAAGAAGUCUGGUGUCUUCCUCAAGGUUGCUAUCUGGGAGGUGGUUGUUGUUUCCUGCAGCGACAGGGAUUUUUGAUUCUUGCAGAAAAAUAGGUGCCCAGUGGUCGACGUCUACGUCUACUGUGUGAUGCCAGAAGUCAUUAAGUCCAGGGAGAUACUUCAAAAUGAAGAAAGGUGAUGGACAGACCAUAAUUUUCAUCUCUGCUGCAGUCUCCAGCAUGGCGAAAGCAGGAGAAAAGCCCGAAGGAAAAAUAAGAGCCUUGACGUUGAUGAGGAGGUGGCGACGCUGGAAGGACUCAAACUUCGGCCUUUGACCCCGGCUGCUAAAACAAAACAGGUACAACAAUUAAAUUGCAGCUGUCAGCAGAGGAGAUAUUAAACUCGUUCCCGGUUCUGUCUCCCUUUCUGCUGACGAUGACCUUGGUGGGGAGACGGAGGCUGGCCGCCGAAGCCUCACGCUGGUUGAGAGUGUUCACGCGCUCUGUCUCGUGGAGAGCCAGCCAUCUGGGAGAGGGAUAUUCAUCACACUGGAACAGAACACACACAGCCACUGGCACAGACACUAUCAUCAUCAUCGCCAUCAUCAUCAUCAACACUCGCCAGCAUCAUCGCAUGUUCCCGGGCUCUGUGAAAAUCCUGGACCGCCAGCUCUGCUGUCUCACAAGCUGAUGUCACGCAAUGUCAUCUAAUCACCCAAGGUAAGGUUUGCCUUGGCUUCACCUGACUCGAAACAUCACAAACUGGUGCGGUUCAUGUGCGGCCCAGGACAGGACGGGUCUACAGCGGGUGAUUAAAACCAGCCAGAACAUCACUGGUACCAUCUCCAGAGCAUCAGUGGCAUCAGUAAAGUGAGACGUCUGCACCCUCCCAGCUGCAGUCUGUCCACCCUGCUGCCACCCUGCUGCAGAUACAGAAGUAUCUGUUGUCUUUCCUCUGGCUGUGAGACUUUCAGUUCAUCAUCAACGCUUCAUUGUAUUAAUUAAAUGUAAUGUAGCACAAAAGGACUCAAACAUAACCCUUUUUUGUGUGUGUGUGUGUGUG